UACGGAGGAUCCAAGCGUUAUCCGGAUUUAUUGGGUUUAAAGGGUGCGUAGGCUGUUUUUUAAGUCAGAGGUGAAAGACCCGGGCUCAACCCGGGCAGUGCCUUAGAAACUGGAAGACUUGAGUACAGAUGAAGUUGGCGGAAUGCGGCAAGUAGCGGUGAAAUGCAUAGAUAUGCCGCAGAACACCGAUAGCGAAGGCAGCUGACUAAAUUGUAACUGACGCUGAUGCACGAAAGCGUGGGGAUCAAACAGGAUUAGAUACCCUGGUAGUCCACGCCGUAAACGAUGAUUACUCGUUGAAUGCGAUAGACAGUAUUUGACCAAGCGAAAGCGUUAAGUAAUCCACCUGGGGAGUACGUUCGCAAGGAUGAA
rnacentral:rRNA from 1 species